GAUGAACGCUGGCGGCGUGCCUAAUACAUGCAAGUCGAGCGAACGGACGAGAAGCUUGCUUCUCUGAUGUUAGCGGCGGACGGGUGAGUAACACGUGGAUAACCUACCUAUAAGACUGGGAUAACUUCGGGAAACCGGAGCUAGUACCGGAUAAUAUUUUGAACCGCAUGGUUCAAAAGUGAAAGACGGUCUUGCUGUCACUUAUAGAUGGAUCCGCGCUGCAUUAGCUAGUUGGUAAGGUAACGGCUUACCAAGGCAACGAUGCAUAGCCGACCUGAGAGGGUGAUCGGCCACACUGGAACUGAGACACGGUCCAGACUCCUACGGGAGGCAGCAGUAGGGAAUCUUCCGCAAUGGGCGAAAGCCUGACGGAGCAACGCCGCGUGAGUGAUGAAGGCCUUCGGAUCGUAAAACUCUGUUAUUAGGGAAGAACAUAUGUGUAAGUAACUGUGCACAUCUUGACGGUACCUAAUCAGAAAGCCACGGCUAACUACGUG
rnacentral:rRNA from 1 species